rnacentral:tRNA from 1 species
GAGGGUGUAGCUCAAGUGGGUAGAGUGCAUGCUUAAUAUGCACGGGGUCCUAGGUUCAAUCCCCAGUACCUCCU